rnacentral:lncRNA from 1 species
AUGUCCCCACAUCCCCCAUGUCCCCAUGUCCCCAUCACUCCCCGGGGGGGAAUGCCACCCCUGUGUCCCCACAUCCUUGUCACUCCCUGGGGUGGGAUGUCACCCCAUGGUCCUUUGUCCCCCCAUGUCCCCACGUCCCUGUCCCUCCCUGGGGUGGGAUGUCACCCCAAUGUCCCCACAUCCCCCAUGUCCCCAUGUCCCUGUCCCUCCCCGGGGUGGGAUGUCACCCCCAUGUCCCCCAUGUCCUUGUCCCUCCUGGAGGUGGGACCCCACCCCCGUGUCCCCCACAUCCCCCACGUCCCCAUCCCUCCCNNNNNNNNNNNNNNNNNNNNNNNNNNNNNNNNNNNNNNNNNNNNNNNNNNNNNGGACAAGGUUGUCCCCCCCCAAAAAACGGGGGGAAGGAGCCCCUCGUCCUCCCAACGGGGUGUAUUGUGGUGGGGGUGUCCCCAAAUGUCCCCAAAUGUCCCUAAGUGUCCCCAAAGUUGGGGAGGGGGGGGCUCAGCCCAGCUCCUCCCGGCUCUUGCCCACCUUCUUGGGCAUCUUGCGGGCGCUGGUGUCCUCCAGCUCCUUGGCCUGGUAGUAAUGGGGGGCCACCUCCAGCAGCCACCCGCUCUCGAUCUCGAUCACCUGGGAGGGGGGGACAACAACAAAGGGGACACUUGGUGGCCUUGGGGACAGACCAGGGAGCCCCCAGGCCACGGGGUGGGGGAUGGGACACGGAGAUGUCCCAUGGCGGGGGGGAUGGCGUCGUGGUGGAACCCAUGGGGACGUGGCCACCAGGUUCCUGUCACCCUGGUCCCCGUGGAGAUGUGGCCACCAGGUUCGUGUCACCCUGGUCCCCGUGGGGAGGUGGCCACUGAGUCACUGUCACCCUGGUCCCCAUGGGGAGGUGGCCACCAGGUUUGUGUCACCCUGGUCCUCAUGGGGGGAUGUGGCCACCAGGUUCCUGUCAACCUGGUCCCCGUGGGGACGUGGCCACCAGGUUUGUGUCACCCUGGUCCCCAUUGGGAGGUGGCCACUGGGUUCCUGUCACCCUGGUCCCCGUGGGGAGGUGGCCACCAGGUUCGUGUCACCCUGGUCCCAAUGAGGACAUGGUCAUUGAGUCACUGUCACCUUGGUCCCCAUGGGAGGACGUGGCCACCAGGUUUGUGUCACCCCGGUCCCCAUGGGGGGAGGUGGCCACCAAGUCACUGUCACCCUGGUCCCUCUGGGGACGUGGCCACCAGGUUUCUGUCACCUUGGUCCCCGUGGGGGGAUGUGGCCACUGGGUUCCUGUCACCCUGGUCCCCGUGGGGAGGUGGCCACCAGGUUCCUGUCACCCUGGUCCCCGUGGGGACGUGGCCACCAGGUUUGUGUCACCCUGGUCCCCGUGGGGAGGUGGCCACUGGGUUCCUGUCACCCUGGUCCCCGUGGGGGAAGGUGGCCACCAGGUCACUGUCACCCUGGUCCCCAUGGGGACGUGGCCACCAGGUCACUGUCACCUUGGUCCCCGUGGGGAGGUGGCCACCAAGUCACUGUCACCCUGGUCCCAAUGAGGACAUGGUCAUUGAGUGACUGUCACCCUGGUCCCCGUGGGGAGGUGGCCACCAAGUCACUGUCACCCUGGUCCCCGUGGGGACAUGACUGUGGGCUCCUUGGUCCUGUCCCCACAGCCACAUCCCUUUUCUAAUGGCCCCGUGGCCACAUCUUUGGCCCCAUGUCCCCAACCCCAUGGAGAUGUCCCCAUCCCUACAGCCACGGGAGGAUGUGGCCACCAGGUUUGUGUCACCCUGGUCCCUGUGAGGAGGUGGCCACCAAGUCAUUGUCACCCUGGUCCCCGUGGGGACAUGGCCACCAGGUUCCUGUCACCCUGGUCCCCAUUGGGAGGUGGCCACCAGGUUCCUGUCACCCUGGUCCCUGUGGGGACAUGACUGUGGGCUCCCUGGUCCUGUCCCCACAGCCACGUCCCCAUGGCCACAUCUCUGUCCCCAUCCCAACAUCUCCAUGGCCACAGAGAUGUCCCUGACCUUGUCCCCAUCCCCAUAGAGAUAUCCUUGUCCCCAUCCCAACGUCCCCAUGGCCACAGAGAUGUUCCUGUCCCCAUCCCAAGGUCCUCAUGGCCACGUCGCUGACCUUGUCCCCAUCCCAACGUCCCCAUCCCACAGAGAUGUUCCUGACCUUGUCCCCAUCCCCAUAGACAUGUCCCCAUCCCAACGUCCCCAUGGCCACGUCCUUGACCUUGUCCCCAUCCCCACAGAGAUGUCCCUGUCCCCAUCCCAAGGUCCCCAUGGCCACGUCCCAGACCUUGUCCCCAUCCCUAUAGAGAUGUCCCCAUCCCAGUGUCCCCAUGGCCAUGUCUCUGACCUUGUCCCCAUCCCCAUAGGGAUGUCCCUGUCUGUCCCCAUCCCCAUAGAGAUGUCCCCAUCCCAACGUCCCCAUGGCCACAGAGAUGUUCCUGUCCCCAUCCCAACGUCCCCAUGGCCACAUCCCUUACCUUGUCCCCGUCCCAAUGUCCCCAUCCCACAGAGAUGUCCCUGUCCUUGUCCCCAUCCCUAUAGAGAUGUCCCCAUUCCAA